rnacentral:lncRNA from 1 species
UUGGGUGUGAUGGAGAGGUUGUGCAUGGGAUAAGAUGAGGAGUGUGAUAAAAAUUUAAAAAGGAGGCAUGAAGAGUUUGUGCAUGAAAAAGAUGUGAGGUGCUACUUCUUUCUUUCUUACACACCCCAACACCCAACUUCCUUCUCCUUUCUUCCUUCAUGUCCAUGCCUAGAUCUGAUAGAGAUCAGAUCUAAGAAGAGAAAAGAG